AGAGUUGAUCAUGGCUCAGGACGAACGCUGGCGGCGUGCUUAACACAUGCAAGUCGAACGGAACACCCUUGACAGAGGUUUCGGCCAAUGAAGAGGAAUGUUUAGUGGCGGACUGGUGAGUAACGCGUGAGGAACCUGCCUUUCAGAGGGGGACAACAGUUGGAAACGACUGCUAAUACCGCAUGAAGCAGCGGGGGGACAUCCCCUUGCUGUCAAAGAUUUAUCGCUGAAAGAUGGCCUCGCGUCUGAUUAGCUAGUUGGUGGGGUAACGGCCCACCAAGGCGACGAUCAGUAGCCGGACUGAGAGGUUGACCGGCCACAUUGGGACUGAGAUACGGCCCAGACUCCUACGGGAGGCAGCAGUGGGGAAUAUUGGGCAAUGGACGCAAGGUCUGACCCAGCAACGCCGCGUGAAGGAAGAAGGCUUUCGGGUUGUAAACUUCUUUUAACAGGGAAGAGAAGAAGACGGUACCUGUUGAAUAAGCCACGGCUAACUACGUGCCAGCAGCCGC
rnacentral:rRNA from 1 species